rnacentral:rRNA from 1 species
UACAGAGGUCUCAAGCGUUGUUCGGAUUCACUGGGCGUAAAGGGUGCGUAGGCGGCGCUGUAAGUCGGGUGUGAAAUUUCGGAGCUUAACUCCGAAACUGCAUUCGAUACUGCGGUGCUUGAGGACUGGAGAGGAGACUGGAAUUCAUGGUGUAGCAGUGAAAUGCGUAGAGAUCAUGAGGAAGACCAGUGGCGAAGGCGGGUCUCUGGACAGUUCCUGACACUGAGGCACGAAGGCCAGGGGAGCAAACGGG